GACGAACGCUGGCGGCGUGCCUAAUACAUGCAAGUAGAACGCACAGUUUAUACCGUAGCUUGCUACACCAUACACUGUGAGUUGCGAACGGGUGAGUAACGCGUAGGUAACCUGCCUGGUAGCGGGGGAUAACUAUUGGAAACGAUAGCUAAUACCGCAUAAUAUUAAUUAUUGCAUGAUAAUUGAUUGAAAGAUGCAAUUGCAUCACUACCAGAUGGACCUGCGUUGUAUUAGCUAGUAGGUGAGGUAACGGCUCACCUAGGCGACGAUACAUAGCCGACCUGAGAGGGUGAGCGGCCACACUGGGACUGAGACACGGCCCAGACUCCGACGGGAGGCAGCAGUAGGGAAUCUUCGGCAAUGGACGAAAGUCUGACCGAGCAACGCCGCGUGAGUGAAGAAGGUUUUCGGAUCGUAAAGCUCUGUUGUAAGAGAAGAACGGGUGUGAGAGUGGAAAGUUCACACUGUGACGGUAUCUUACCAGAAAGGGACGGCUAACUACGUG
rnacentral:rRNA from 1 species